rnacentral:rRNA from 1 species
AGUGAACGCUGGCGGUAGGCCUAACACAUGCAAGUCGAACGGCAGCACAGUAAGAGCUUGCUCUUACGGGUGGCGAGUGGCGGACGGGUGAGGAAUACAUCGGAAUCUACUUUUUCGUGGGGGAUAACGUAGGGAAACUUACGAUAAUACCGCAUACGACCUACGGGUGAAAGCAGGGGAUCUUCGGACCUUGCGCGAUUGAAUGAGCCGCUGUCGUAUUAGCUAGUUGGCGGGGUAAAGGCCCACCAAGGCGACGAUCCGUAGCUGGUCUGAGAGGAUGAUCAGCCACACUGGAACGUGGACACCGUCCAGACUCCUACGGGAGGCAGCAGUGGGGAAUAUUGGACAAUGGGCGCAAGCCUUAUCCAGCCAUACCGCGUGGGUGAAGAAGGCCUUCGGGUUGUAAAGCCCUUUUUUUGGUAAAGAAAAGCAGCAGGUUAAUACCCCGCUGUUCUGACGGUACCCAAUGAAGAAGCACCGGCUAACUUCGUG